UACGGAGGGGGCGAGCGUUAUUCGGAAUUAUUGGGCGUAAAGCGCGUGUAGGCGGCUUUGCAAGUCGGGUGUGAAAGCCCUCGGCUCAACCGAGGAAGUGCGCCCGAAACUGCAGAGCUUGAGUACCGGAGAGGAUGGCGGAAUUCCCCAAGUAGAGGUGAAAUUCGUAGAUAUGGGGAGGAACACCGGUGGCGAAGGCGGCCAUCUGGACGGAUACUGACGCUGAGACGCGAAAGCGUGGGGAGCAAACAGG
rnacentral:rRNA from 1 species